rnacentral:rRNA from 1 species
UAGGUCAGGAUACCUGAGAAAUGAGGGUAACACUGAAUAGAGAAAAAAUCUGGAAGGAAUUUUUCUGAAAAGCAAUGCCUAAGGAUGGGAUGGCGGCCGAUUAGGUAGUUGGUGAGGUAAAGGCUCACCAAGCCGAAGAUCGGUAGGGGCCUUGAGAGAGGUAGCCUCGAGAAGGGUACUGAGGAACUGACCCUAGCCCUACGGGGUGCAGCAGGCGCGAAAACUUUACAAUGCACGAAAGUGUGAUAAGGGAAUCCAAAGUGCUAGUACUUUUAGUAUUAGCUUUUUUCAAAGGCAAAAACUUUGAAGAAUAAGUGGUGGGUAAGACCGGUGCCAGCAGCCGCGGUAACCCCGGCGCCACAAGUGGCAUCCACAUUUACUUGGCCUAAAGCGUCCGUAGCCGGUUUGAUAAAUCUCUUGUGAAAUCGUUAAGCUCAACUUAACGACGGGCAGGAGACACUUUCUUACUGGGAACCGGGAGGAGUCAGAGGUAUUCCUUGGGGAGCGGUAAAAUGCUAUAAUCCUCGGAAGACCACCUGUGGCGAAGGCGUCUGACUAGAACGGAUUCGACGGUGAGGGACGAAAGCUAGGGGAGCGAUCCGGAUUAGAUAUUGGAGAUCUUCUCAACGAGUUGUUCAGGAAACAUUAUCGAUCGCAAACAGACACUGAUAAUGCGGAAAGAAUAAUUUUUAUGUUGAUCUCUGACUAAUUACCCGAGUAGUCCUGGCUGUAAACUCUGCGAGCUAGGUGUUGCACAUUCCUAGAGAAUGCGCAGUAUCGUAGCGAAGGCGUUAAGCU